rnacentral:lncRNA from 1 species
UGGAGGAGAUUCAAGGUUCUUUUCGGAUGUGCUUAAAGGACCCAAGUGAUUGAUGUUAUCUCGAUCAAGAUCUUGAAGGAGAUCAAUUGACUGAUCUAUUCACUGGUCCCCUUCGGCACUCAUCUGUAGGACAUUUUGUAACUCCACCCACCAUUAAGGCAAGAGAAUCUUUCCAGGGAACAAACUGGGGAGUAGUCCCAGGCCUACCCAGCCUGCCACAUGGUGGAUUGAAGUGGGUCUCAAAGCAUUUCAUGGACUACUCCUGAGGAUUUGGAAU